GCACACAGAACCAGAACCAACGUUCGUAAGAAGAAUGCGAAAUUGCAUUGUGAAGACGUCAAUCGUCGCAGCAAGGUGGAACCAGCACUUGCUGCCGAAUUCAUCAACGGAAUCUCUCGUGCACGAGUUAAACAAAUGCGUUCCGGACCAUAUGAUCCCGAAAAACGUCAAGUUGCUCACGGGUGCGAUGCGCUACGCCCGUACAUUA